rnacentral:rRNA from 1 species
CCUACGGGUGGCAGCAGUGAGGAAUAUUGGUCAAGGGACGAGAGUCUGAACCAGCCAAGUAGCGUGAAGGAUGACUGCCCUAUGGGUUGUAAACUUCUUUGAUAGGGGAAUAAAAUGGUACACGUGUGGGAUUUUGUAUGUACCAUAUGAAUAAGGAUCGGCUAACGCCGUGCCAGCAGCCUCGGUAAUACGGAGGAUCCGAGCGUGAUCCGGAUUUAUUGGGGUUAAAGGGAGCGUAGGGGGCUUGUUAAGUCAGUUGUGAAAGUUUGCGGCUCCACCGUAAAAUUGCAGGUGAAACUGGCAGUCUUGAGUACAGUUGAGGUGGGCUGCCUUCGUUUUGU